rnacentral:rRNA from 1 species
UACGGGGGGGGCAAGCGUUGUUCGGAAUUACUGGGCGUAAAGGGCUCGUAGGCGGCCAACUAAGUCGGACGUGAAAUCCCCAGGCUCAACCUGGGAACUGCGUCCGAUACUGGAUGGCUUGAAUCCGGGAGAGGGAUGCAGAAUUCCUGGUGUAGCGGUGAAAUGCGCAGAUAUCAGGAGGAACACCUGAGGUGAAGACGGGUUGCUGGGCUGACACUGACGCUGAUGCGCGAAAGCCAGGGGAGCAAACGGG